AGGGUUUGAUCCUGGCUCAGAACGAACGCUGGCGGCAGGCCUAACACAUGCAAGUCGAACGAAGUAGCAAUACUUAGUGGCAGACGGGUGAGUAACAUGUGGGUAUCUGCCCUUUGGCCUGGAAUAACACGAGGAAACUUGUGCUAAUACCGGAUAAGUCUUUACGGAGAAAGCUUUAUGCACCAUUGGAUGAGCCCGCACUUGAUUAGUUUGUUGGUGGGGUAAUGGCCUACCAAGACUGUGAUCAAUAGCUGAUUUGAGAGGAUGAUCAGCCACAUUGGGACUGAGACACGGCCCAAACUCCUACGGGAGGCAGCAGUGGGGAAUCUUGCACAAUGGAGGAAACUCUGAUGCAGCGAUGCCGCGUGAGUGAAGAAGGCCCUUGGGUUGUAAAGCUCUUUCGUCGGGGAAGAAAAUGACUGUACCCGAAUAAGAAGGUCCGGCUAACUUCGUGCCAGCAGCCGCGGUAAUACGAAGGGACCUAGCGUAGUUCGGAAUUACUGGGCUUAAAGAGUUCGUAGGUGGUUGAAAAAGUUAGUGGUGAAAUCCCAGAGCUUAACUCUGGAACUGCCAUUAAAACUUUUCAGCUAGAGUAUGAUAGAGGAAAGCAGAAUUUCUAGUGUAGAGGUGAAAUUCGUAGAUAUUAGAAAGAAUACCAAUUGCGAAGGCAGCUUUCUGGAUCAUUACUGACACUGAGGAACGAAAGCAUGGGUAGCGAAGAGGAUUAGAUACCCUCGUAGUCCAUGCCGUAAACGAUGUGUGUUAGACGUUGGAAAUUUAUUUUCAGUGUCGCAGCGAAAGCGAUAAACACACCGCCUGGGGAGUACGACCGCAAGGUUAAAACUCAAAUGAAUUGACGGGGACCCGCACAAGUAGUGGAGCAUGUGGUUUAAUUCGAAGAUACGCGCAGAACCUUACCAACACUUGACAUGUUCGUCGCGACUCUAAGAGAUUAGAGUUUUCGGUUCGGCCGGACGAAACACAGGUGCUGCAUGGCUGUCGUCAGCUCGUGUCGUGAGAUGUUGGGUUAAGUCCCGCAACGAGCGCAACCCUCACUUUUAGUUGCCAUCAUUAAGUUGGGCACUCUGAAAGAACUGCCAGUGAUAAGCUGGAGGAAGGUGGGGAUGACGUCAAGUCCUCAUGGCCCUUACGUGUUGGGCUACACACGUGCUACAAUGGUAUCUACAACAGGAAGCAAGACUGCGAGGUCAAGCAAAUCCUUAAAAGAUACCUCAGUUCGGAUUGCACUCUGCAACUCGAGUGCAUGAAGCUGGAAUUACUAGUAAUCGUGGAUCAGCGUGCCACGGUGAAUGCGUUCCCGGGUCUUGUACACACCGCCCGUCACACCAUGGGAGUUGGUUCUACCUUAAGGCAAGGUUUCAAACCCUUGACCACGGUAUAGUCAGCGACUGGGGUGAAGUCGUAACAAGGUAACCGUA
rnacentral:rRNA from 1 species